GUCUGAGGUUGUUUAUGGUUUCCUAAACAAGAAAAUUAAUAAUAAAAGUGUAUUAUUUGAAAAAGUUACCAACAAAGUUAGACAAAACUAUUAUAUGGGAGAUCUGACUGGUUUUCGUUAAAAUAUAAAGCAGACAUUACUAUAUAAUAUAAUUACUGCAUAAUAGAUUUCUUAAUACACCUCUUAUGAAUAGAUGUGUCACAGAAACCUUAAUGUUACACAAAUUUAAUGAAUUGUUAAAUCUCAAUUUCACAUACAAAA